rnacentral:rRNA from 1 species
UACGUAGGGUGCAAGCGUUAAUCGGAAUUACUGGGCGUAAGGCGUGCGAAGGCGGUUUUGUAAGUCUGUCGUGAAAGCCCCGGGCUCAACCUGGGAAUUGCGAUGGAGACUGCAAGGCUUGAAUCUGGCAGAGGGGGGUAGAAUUCCGCGUGUAGCAGUGAAAUGCGUAGAGAUGUGGAGGAACACCGAUGGCGAAGGCAGCCCCCUGGGUCAAGAUUGACGCUCAUGCACGAAAGCGUGGGGAGCAAACAGG